GAUGAACGCUGGCGGCGUGCCUAAUACAUGCAAGUCGAGCGAACAGACGAGGAGCUUGCUCCUCUGGCGUUAGCGGCGGACGGGUGAGUAACACGUGGAUAACCUACCUAUAAGACUGGGAUAACUUCGGGGAACCGGAGCUAAUACCGGAUAAUAUAUUGAACCGCAUGGUUCAAUAGUGAAAUACGGUUUUGCUGUCACUUAUAGAUUGAUCCGCGCCGCAUUAGCUAGUUGGUAAGGUAACGGCUUACCAAGGCAACGAUGCGUAUCCGACCUGAGAGGGUGAGCGGCCACACUGGAACUGAGACACGGACCAGACUCCUACGGGAGGGAGCAGUAGGGAAUCUUCCGAAAAGGGCGAAAGCUUGACGGAGCAACGCCGCGUGAGUGAUGAAGGUCUUCGGAUCGUAAAACUCUGUUAUUAGGGAAGAAAAAAUGUGUAAGUAACUAUGCACGUAUUGACGGUACCUAAUCAGAAAGCCACGGCUAACUACGUG
rnacentral:rRNA from 1 species